AAUGAACGCUGGCGGCGCGCCUAAUACAUGCAAGUCGAGCGAGAAGACGUAGCAAUACGUUUGUAAAGCGGCGAACGGGUGAGGAAUACAUGGGUAACCUACCCUAGAGUGGGGAAUAACUAGCCGAAAGGUUAGCUAAUACCGCGUACGCUCCUUGGACUUCGGUUCAGGGAGGAAAGCGAUGCCGAGGGUAUCGCGCUCUUGGAUGGGCUCAUGUCCUAUCAGCUUGUUGGUGAGGUAACGGCUCACCAAGGCUUCGACGGGUAGCUGGUCUGAGAGGACGAUCAGCCACACUGGCACUGCGACACGGGCCAGACUCCUACGGGA
rnacentral:rRNA from 1 species